rnacentral:rRNA from 1 species
AUUGAACGCUGGCGGCAGGCCUAACACAUGCAAGUCGAACGGUAACAGGAAGCAGCUUGCUGCUUUGCUGACGAGUGGCGGACGGGUGAGUAAUGUCUGGGAAACUGCCUGAUGGAGGGGGAUAACUACUGGAAACGGUAGCUAAUACCGCAUAACGUCGCAAGACCAAAGGGGGGGGCCUUCGGGCCUCUUGCCAUCGGAUGUGCCCAGAUGGGAUUAGCUAGUAGGUGGGGUAACGGCUCACCUAGGCGACGAUCCCUAGCUGGUCUGAGAGGAUGACCAGCCACACUGGAACUGAGACACGGUCCAGACUCCUACGGGAGGCAGCAGUGGGGAAUAUUGCACAAUGGGCGCAAGCCUGAUGCAGCCAUGCCGCGUGUAUGAAGAAGGCCUUCGGGUUGUAAAGUACUUUCAGCGGGGAGGAAGGGAGUAAAGUUAAUACCUUUGCUCAUUGACGUUACCCGCAGAAGAAGCACCGGCUAACUCCGUG